CUCUGUGACUCCUACGGGAGGCAGCAGUGAGGAAUAUUGGUCAAUGGAGGGAACUCUGAACCAGCCAUCCCGCGUGUAGGAAGACGGCCUUAUGGGUUGUAAACUACUUUUAUACAGGAAGAAACGUACCCUCGUGAGGGUGCCUGACGGUACUGUAGGAAUAAGCACCGGCUAACUCCGUGCCAGCAGCCGCGGUAAUACGGAGGGUGCGAGCGUUAUCCGGAUUUAUGGGUUUAAAGGGUCCGUAGGCGGAUUAAUAAGUCAGUGGUGAAAUCCCAUCGCUUAACGAUGGAACUGCCAUUGAUACUGUUAGUCUUGAAUGAGGGUGCAGUGGUUGGAAUGUGUAGUGUAGCGGUGAAAUGCAUAGAUAUUACACAGAACACCGAUUGCGAAGGCAGAUCACUAACCCUAAAUUGACGCUGAGGGACGAAAGCGUGGGGAGCGAACAGGAUUAGAUACCCUGGUAG
rnacentral:rRNA from 1 species